UACGAAGGGGGCUAGCGUUGCUCGGAAUCACUGGGCGUAAAGCGCACGUAGGCGGCUUUCUAAGUCAGGGGUGAAAUCCUGGAGCUCAACUCCAGAACUGCCUUUGAUACUGGAGAGCUUGAGUCCGGGAGAGGUGAGUGGAACUCCGAGUGUAGAGGUGAAAUUCGUAGAUAUUCGGAAGAACACAGUGGCGAAGGCGGCUCACUGGCCCGGUACUGACGCUGAGGUGCGAAAGCCAGGGGAGCAAAGCGGG
rnacentral:rRNA from 1 species